GGUCCGUUAGCUCAGUUCAGUAGAGCGCUUGCUUGUCGAGCGGAGGGUAGCGGGAGCAAAGCCCGCACGGACCGCCA
rnacentral:tRNA from 1 species